rnacentral:tRNA from 2 species
GGCACUAGCUCAGUUGGUAGAGCGCGACCUUGCCAAGGUCGAGGUCACGAGUUCGAGCC